rnacentral:rRNA from 1 species
AUUAUUGCUAUUAGAUGAGCCUAUAUUAGAUUAGCUAGUUGGUGGAGUAAUAGCCUACCAAGGCAAUGAUCUAUAGCUGAUCUGAGAGGAUGAUCAGCCACACUGGAACUGAGAUACGGUCCAGACUCCUACGGGAGGCAGCAGUGGGGAAUAUUGGACAAUGGGCGAAAGCCUGAUCCAGCUAUGCCGCAUGAGUGAAGAAGGCCUUUGGGUUGUAAAGCUCUUUUAGUGAGGAAGAUAAUGACGGUACUCACAGAAGAAGUCCUGGCUAACUCCGUGCCAGCAGCCGCGGUAAUACGGAGAGGGCUAGCGUUAUUCGGAAUUAUUGGGCGUAAAGGGCGCGUAGGCUGAUUAAUAAGUUAAAAGUGAAAUCCCGAGGCUUAACCUUGGAAUUGCUUUUAAAACUAUUAAUCUAGAGAUUGAAAGAGGAUAGAGGAAUUCCUGAUGUAGAGGUAAAAUUCGUAAAUAUUAGGAGGAACACCAGUGGCGAAGGCGUCUAUCUGGUUCAAAUCUGACGCUGAGGCGCGAAGGCGUGGGGAGCAAACAGGAUUAGAUACCCUGGUAGUCCACGCUAUAAACGAUGAAUGUUAAAUAUGGGAAGUUUAC